rnacentral:rRNA from 1 species
GACGAACGCUGGCGGCGUGCUUAACACAUGCAAGUCGAACGGAAAGGCCCUGCUUUUGUGGGGUGCUCGAGUGGCGAACGGGUGAGUAACACGUGAGUGACCUGCCCUUGACUUUGGGAUAACUUCAGGAAACUGGGGCUAAUACCGGAUAGGAGCUCCUGCCGCAUGGUGGGGGUUGGAAAGUUUCGGCGGUUGGGGAUGGACUCGCGGCUUAUCAGCUUGUUGGUGGGGUAGUGGCUUACCAAGGCUUUGACGGGUAGCCGGCCUGAGAGGGUGACCGGCCACAUUGGGACUGAGAUACGGCCCAGACUCCUACGGGAGGCAGCAGUGGGGAAUAUUGCACAAUGGGCGGAAGCCUGAUGCAGCAACGCCGCGUGCGGGAUGACGGCCUUCGGGUUGUAAACCGCUUUCGCCUGUGACGAAGCGUGAGUGACGGUAAUGGGUAAAGAAGCACCGGCUAACUACGUG